rnacentral:rRNA from 1 species
GUAGGUGGCAAGCGUUGUCCGGAAUUAUUGGGCGUAAAGCGCGCGCAGGCGGUUCUUUAAGUCUGAUGUGAAAGCCCACGGCUCAACCAUGGAGGGUCAUUGGAAACUGGAGAACUUGAGUACAGAAGAGGAAAGCGGAAUUCCACGUGUAGCGGUGAAAUGCGUAGAGAUGUGGAGGAACACCAGUGGCGAAGGCGGCUUUCUGGUCUGUAACUGACGCUGAGGCGCGAAAGCGUGGGGAGCAAACAGGAUUAGAUACCCUGGUAGUCCACGCCGUAAACGAUGAGUGCUAAGUGUUAGGGGGUUUUCCGCCCCCCUUAGUGCUGCAGCUAACGCAUUAAGCACUCCGCCUGGGAGUACGGCCGCAAGGCUA